ACACACAACAGACACAGUUAGCCUGGAGAACAGACACAGUUAGCCUGGAGAACAGACACACAACAGACACAGUUAGCCUGGAGAACAGACACAGUUAGCCUGGAGAACAGACACAGUUAGCCUGGAGAACAGACACACAACAAACACAGUUAGCCUGGACAACAGACACACAACAGACACAGUUAGCCUGGAGAACAGACACACAACAGACACAGUUAGCCUGGAGAACAGACACACAACAGACACAGUUAGCCUGGAGAACAGACACGCAACAAACACAGUUAGCCUGGACAACAGACACACAACAAACACAGUUAGCCUGGACAACAGACACACAACAGACACAGUUAGCCUGGAGAACAGACACACAACAGACACAGUUAGCCUGGAGAACAGACACACAACAAACACAGUUAGCCUGGACAACAGACACACAACAGACACAGUUAGCCUGGAGAACAGACACACAACAGACACAGUUAGCCUGGAGAACAGACACAGUUAGCCUGGAGAACAGACACACAACAGACACACAACAAACACAGUUAGCCUGGAGAACAGACCCAGAAAAAAGACCCCUGUUAUUAACAGACCCGGUGGUUGAUGGUAAAUGUGUCAUCACUAAUCCAAGGAAGACAGCUGGUUAACCACACCAGACAGUAAACAGUCAGAGUUAUCUGGUGUAAUAACUGGCAGAGUGACUGUGUAGUGACUGUAGAGACCCAGGAAUAUAAUAACAGUAGCAGGUCUGUCAGAGUGACUGUGUAGUGACUGUAGAGACCCAGGAAUAUAAUAACAGUAGCAGGUCUGUCAGAGUGACUGUGUAGUGACUGUAGAGACCCAGGAAUAUAAUAACAGUAGCAGGUCUGUCAGAGUGACUGUGUAGUGACUGUAGAGACCCAGGAAUAUAAUAACAGUAGCAGGUCUGUCAGAGUGACUGUGUAGUGACUGUAGAGACCCAGGAAUAUAAUAACAGUAGCAGGUCUGUCAGAGUGACUGUGUAGUGACUGUAGAGACCCAGGAAUAUAAUAACAGUAGCAGGUCUGUCAGAGUGACUGUGUAGUGACUGUAGAGACCCAGGAAUAUAAUAACAGUAGCAGGUCUGUCAGAGUGACUGUGUAGUGACUGUAGAGACCCAGGAAUAUAAUAACAGUAGCAGGUCUGUCAGAGUGACUGUGUAGUGACUGUAGAGACCCAGGAAUAUAAUAACAGUAGCAGGUCUGUCAGAGUGACUGUGUAGUGACUGUAGACUCAUGAAUAUCUCUUUAUGUAUCCCACAGAGAGAGGCUCUAAGUUAAGCAUGUUAUUGGGCACAGAGGGCAGAUUGUUUUAACAACAAGGACUACCCCUCAGCAUGUACUUCAGCCAGUCCACUCUGCUGGACUCCACCCUAUUGACAUAUCCAGCUUGUUUUGGACAUCAGGACUCUAAUCUCUGUUCUAGUUCUGAGCUCUGCCAAGGGUGGAGCUAAAUGAUCUUAGCAUGACAAGAUGAUGUUAUUAUUAUUAUAUUAAGAUGACGAUCUGCCUGUCAGCUCUCUGAUAUUUUUACCCCUCUGCCGUCUGUGUCUGUCUCUAACGCUCAGACAGAGAAACCCUGGAGAGGUGAGGCCAGGGUUUUCAUGGCUGGCUGCUGGGUGCAUUAUCACCAUCCUCACCGUCUGGCUGAAGUACUGCCAUGGCAUUAGAGCACUGUACCCUUAUGGUUCAUGUUCAACCUGACCUAUAUCCUCAUUGUUUCAGAUAUGAUCAUUUAUAUUUUGUGUUAAAAUGAAGAAAAUUAGAUGUGCCUCAUUUGCUUAAGUGCAUUCAGAAAGUAUUCAGGCCCCUUGAUCUUUUUCCACAUUUUGUUACGUUACAGUCUUGUCCUGUUGGAAGAUGAACCAUUGCCCCAGUCUGAGGUUAUGAGCACUCUGGAGCAGGUUUUCAUCACGGAUCUCUCUAAACUUUGCUACCUUCCUCUUUGCCUCGAUCCUGACUAGUCUCCCAGUCUCUGCUGAUGAAAAACAUCCCCACAGCAUGAUGCUGCCACCACCAUGCUUCACAGUAGGG